rnacentral:rRNA from 1 species
GACGAACGCUGGCGGCGUGCCUAAUACAUGCAAGUCGAGCGAACAGACGAGGCGCUUGCUCGUUUCACGAUAGGCGCGGACGUGUGAGUAACACGUGGAUCAUCUCCCUAUCUGACUGGGAUCACUUGGGGAAUCCGGAGCUAAUCCCGGAUAAUCUCUUGAUCCGCAUGGUUCAAUGGUGAAAGACGGUUUUGCUGUCUCUUAUCGAUGGAUACGCGCCGCAUUAGGUGGUGGGUAAGGUAACGGCUUACGACGGCAACAAGGCGUAACCGACCUGGGAGGGUGAUCGGCCACACGGGAACGUGGACACGCACCAUGGGCCUACGGUAGGCAGCAGUAGGGAAUCUGCGGCAAUGGUCGAAAGCCUGACGGAGCAAGGCGGCGGGAGAUAUGAAGGUCUUGGGAGCGUAAUACUCGGUUUUUAGGGAAGAACAAAUGUGGAAUUAACUGUGCACGGCGUGACGGUACCUAAUCAGAAAGCCACGGCUAACUACGUG